rnacentral:RNase_P_RNA from 1 species
UGAGAUGGCCAGACAAUCGCGCUUAUAGCUWGACUAUUUGUGAGGAAAGUCCGGGCUCCAAUGAGCAGGGUGCCAGAUAACGUCUGGAAAGCGUGAGCUUAUGGCAAGUGCCACAGAAAUGAUACCGCCUAGUUUCGGCUAGGUAAGGGUGAAAUGGUGCGGUAAGAGCGCACCGCGCAACUGGUAACAGUUGUGGCAGGGUAAACCCCACCUGGAGCAAGACCAAAUAGAGGAGCAGUCUGCUUGCAGACACGUGUGGCUCGCACGGUUCCUGGGUAGGUUGCUUGAGGCAAGUAGCGAUGCUUGUCCCAG